rnacentral:misc_RNA from 1 species
GUAGGUGAACCUGCGGAAGGAUCAUUAACACGUAUCCAAACGUUAAAACCCCCGCCGUGAACUUUCAAUCCUGCUCUUGUAACCCGCGUAGUUCGCAAUCUCUGGUAAAUCAAAGUGGGAGGAAAGUUGUUUGAUUCUGUUUCCCCAAGCAGUCAGUGUCGGAAAGUGUCACUGAUUGUGCAAGGAUAGCGCUUCACGAUUCCUGUAGACCUACACUCGGGCAGGAGCUAUGCCAAAGGGUGCCCAUCCUAAUAACCCCACAGUUUAGUAUAUGGGUCAAAAAAACCGAACAACUGUUAACAAUGGAUAUCUUGGUUCUC